rnacentral:rRNA from 1 species
GUGGGGAAUAUUGGACAAUGGGUGAAAGCCUGAUCCAGCCAUGCCGCGUGUGUGAAGAAGGUCUUCGGAUUGUAAAGCACUUUAAGUUGGGAGGAAGGGCAGUAAGUUAAUACCUUGCUGUUUUGACGUUACCGACAGAAUAAGCACCGGCUAACUUCGUGCCAGCAGCCGCGGUAAUACGAAGGGUGCAAGCGUUAAUCGGAAUUACUGGGCGUAAAGCGCGCGUAGGUGGUUUUGUAAGUUGGAGGUGAAAUCCCCGGGCUCAACCUGGGAACUGACUCCAAAACUGCAUGACUAGAGUACGGUAGAGGGUAGUGGAAUUUCCUGUGUAGCGGUGAAAUGCGUAGAUAUAGGAAGGAACACCAGUGGCGAAGGCGACUACCUGGACUGAUACUGACACUGAGGUGCGAAAGCGUGGGGAGCAAACAGGAUUAGAUACCCUAGUAGUCC